AAACAUCGCCUCUUGUAUAUUAUAAGAGGUCCAGCCUGCCCAGUGACCCCCCGGUUUAACGGCCGCGGUAUCCUAACCGUGCGAAGGUAGCGUAAUCACUUGUUUUUUAAUUGAAGACUUGUAUGAAAGGCAUCACGAGGGCCAAACUGUCUCCUUUUUCUCAUCAGUGAAACUAAUCUUCCCGUGAAAAAGCGGGAAUUUUAUUAUAAGACGAGAAGACCCUAUGGAGCUUUAAACUUAACAACACCCGCUUUUCACUUCCCUUUUUUCUGAAAUUUUUUCCCAUAGCAUUCUUGUUUGUGAGUUUUCGGUUGGGGCGACCCCGGAGAACAACCCAUCCUCCGCAAUGUAAAGAUCUUUUCUUUAAUUAAGAGUUACAACUCUACACAUUAGUAUAACUGACAUACAUUGACCCAAAUUUUUGAUCAACGAACUAAGUUACCCUAGGGAUAACAGCGCCAUCCAUUUUAAGAGUUCCUAUCGACAAAUGGGCUUACGACCUCGAUGUUGGAUCAGGGUAUCCUAGUGGUGCAGCCG
rnacentral:rRNA from 1 species